AGCUUAGGGCCCCACAAAAAUUUAAAGGAAGAAAACCUGGAUGUACAUUUCCGAAAUAUAAGAUAAAAAACAAAUAAAAUAAAAUCUACCUACAGGAACAGUGUUUUGUGUUGUGUAGGCUCCUGUGAUGUAAGUCAUGGGCCUCGCCUGCUAGCCUGUUCCCUUAAUUAUCCCUGGUUUGCUCAUUUCUAUAUAUAGGGUACCUACGACCUGCAUCUGGGACGCGGGUGGCGCUGGGGGUUAAACCACAGAGCCUAGGACUUGCCAAUCAGAAGGUCGGCGGUUCGAAUCCCCGCAAUGACGGGGUGAGCUCCCGUUGCUCGGUCCCUGCUCCUGCCAACCUAGCAGUUCAAAAGCACGUCAAGGUACCGCUCCAGCAGGAAGGUAAACGGCAUUUCCGUUCGCUGCUCUGGUUCACCAGAAGUGGCUUAGUCAUGCUGGGCACAUGACCCGGAAGCUGUACGCCGGCUCCCUCGGCCAAUAAAGCAAGAUGAGCGCCGCAACCCCAGAGUCGGCCGCGACUGGACCUAAUGGUCAGGGGUCCCUUUACCUUACGAUCUGCAUGGACUGUUUGCAUGGCUUGAGAUACUUAUUAGGUCCGUCAAUUACCAUAUAGCAUAUAUUCAACACAAAAAACAGUGACAAUUUGUUGUGGACAAAGGACAGCUGGACAUAUAAAGGGCCCCAUCACCUUCAGUAGCUCAACAAACCCCAAUCCGGCCCUGGUUGGGGAGAAUCGAACUCACCUCUCUCUGGCGUAUCCCAGUCGAAGAUCCACCAGGCGAAAUACAAGACGCUGAUAGGCCAGAAGGAGGUGAAGAGCAGGUAGACCAGGAGAACGGAGAAGAAGGCACCUGGGGGGGGGGAGGAGAUUCUGUGGAAUCUUGUUUUUAUGUUGUAUGCUGGAUAUGUGAUUGCAAAAUUCUGAUUUGAAAAACCCAAUAAAUAAAUUUUAAAAAAAUAUGAAACCAA